UCGAAGGUAUAAGCCAACUUCCAGGAGGAAAAUUUCCUUGUGCAUCUUUAGAGCUAGAAUUGGGGAAUGGAGGGUUGCUCUACCAAAGUGACAGUCACAGGGGGCCCAAAGAUGGUACAAGCUUAGCAGCAGUGGGAAGAAAUAAACAGAAAUAAACCUGGGCCAAGGUCUGAUCUGGAGGCAGCCUGUGAUGCUCUUUGAGUAGGACAGUUCCCUGUGGCCACACACAGAGAGCUUGGAGCCUGGUGAAAGCCAGGAGAGAACAGGUGGGGCCCAGAAGAGAGCUGGAUGAGUGAUGUAAGAGGAUUUCCACUUGUCCUGGUGCAAGGUCAAGUCUCAAAGGACAUUCAGUAAGCCACUGCCGCCCACUCCUUUCACGGCCAUCCACUCCACUCCUUCCACGGACCUCUUUCCCUUCCUUCCUCUCCCCUCUUCUAGACCUAACACUUUCGUGUUCCAGACCCUGGGUGGAGGGUGUCACUCUACAGCAAGGACCAAGUCCAAAAGCAAGACCAGAAGAGACUACAGGGUCCCUGUGGGCUGAGACAAAAGAAGUGGUCUGAGGAAUUCACAAUGACGUAAGUGGCAUAUUUAGGAACCUGAUAAGCAGCGCCAGCAAAUUGGAUCAGAAUGGCAAGGGACAGAAGAUGGUGCCGUGGAUUUCUGCCGUCAGCGUGGGUGUCAGACCCGCAUCCCUCACUGGCCCUCCAUUAUCGCUGCUUUCCUUCGGCUGUUUCUCUUGACAGCGAAGAACGCUGACAGCCCAGCUGAAUUCCUUAAACUCUUAUUUUCUACCAGACCGAAGGAUGACAAACGAGCUUUUCAGUCCUGUUGAUGAGCACAUCACAAAAAUGACAUAAUAGUGUAAUUUUUUGCCCCAAGACAAGGAAAAAAAUGUGUUGGAAAUCACUGUGUUCAUGUUUUUGUUCCCUUUCCACCUUCAUCUGACCACAGUUGUCACUCAGAGACUCUAAAAAGAAGCAGAAGUGGAGGCUGGUGUUGAGCAGCCACUGCAGUGUGUGUCUAUGACAAGGUCACACUCGUCACAGUGGCAGGGACACACUUUCCUUAUUGAGAGUGGUGACACCAGCAGCAUUGUACAGGCUCUUAACUGACGCCUCUGAAAUUGGAUGUGACACCCCACAGGACAAGUCUUGGGGAGGAAGCCUGGAAGACAGCCAUCCAGAGAAGCCUCUGCCUCCACUUGCACAAUUCCUGAAAGCCACGUCCAGCAGUGAAUUGAGUUCUCUUCAGUCUCUGCAAGGUUGACCUUGCUCAUCUUCUGGACAGUGAGCCCAGAUCGCCCUGUGCCGUAUGUAGGUUAGGGUUUCAAGUUGAAGCUAAAAGGGGAACCAUAGCUCUGGCUGGUAGUUCAGGUGCCACCUGAGGGAAUCACAGAGUAGGCAGAUCUGGAUUUUACCUCCAGCGUGGAUCAGGCUUCACUGGGAGCUGUUCCUUUCACCCAGUGCUAAGCGGUCACAGGUCUGCUAUAUGUGAGCAGUGCUGCCCAUCUUCAUCAAAAAGUUCACCUUUGGGAAUGCUUGGCAGACAUUUACAUGAGAGUCUAAAGUCAGCCCAUGAGAACUGCCAUGCUCACAAUCAAAUUACUAUUCACACAUGGACAGAUUUCCCUUGCUGCUGUGGGCUGCCAUUUCUUCACGUUAGUAAAAGACGAUGCAGUGAACUUGUAAAUUUUUGUUUGUUUGUUUUUUAGCUGCAGUUUUACCCUCCAAAGGGUUAAGAAUGUAUCAUCUCACACACACUCUCAUCACGCAUCUGUGAGUAGAACGGGCUUGAGGUUAUUCACAAUUGAAAUAUUUCUUAUUCUUCCUCUCUAGGCUUUUCACAAACAUUUGCAUCUCAAAUGUUAAAUGCAUUAAUGAUACAACCUCCCUGAUACCUAGAAGAAAAUCUUGAAAAACUUAAGAGCGAUUUAGAAUAAAAGGGAAUUUUAAGUGCA